rnacentral:lncRNA from 13 species
UGUUGGAGGAACACCAAGGAGGUCCCUGUGGCUGGAGCAGAGUGAGGAGGGGGAGAGAGGACAAGUUGACAACGGGUCUCAGUGCACAGGCCGUCAAAGCAAUCUGAGGGAAACGCUUUGUAGCAAGAUGAUGAUGUUUUCCAUGAAAACAAUAAAGUGACUAAAUCCGUCAGCAUGCUGUGCUUGGCUUCCAGGGGGUCCUCAGCGGCGUGCCUGGACAUCCGUCUCGGGAUUGGGCUUCGCCCCAGAAAUCCUGUGACGCUCUCUCCACCGGAUGCAGCAUCUGGGAGGCCAGUUCCGGGUGUGGCCGCCUCUGCCGCUGGCUGCGCUUGCCGCUUUGUCUUUCCUCACACCUUCUCCGGACAGCAGCGCUGAGAAGCAGGGGUCCCUGGGCUUGGAGACCGAGGCAGGCCCCGUGGUGGGUGGCCCAGGUCGAAGCGGGGCAGUGAGCUCACGGAGCCGGGCCACGUUCUGCUGACACCCUCCCGGAGGGUCUCAGGCAUCUUUCUGGGGUCCACCGACCCCCGCCACUCCUCACAGACUGAAUCUCCAGCCCCGCGGGACUGAUCCCUGCCCACGCCGUCCGAUCCGGAAUCCAGAGGGCAGAGCAGACCCGGGUGCCCACCUUAGGGCCUCAAGCGCCCUCCGCAUCCAGCCGACCCGAACAGGAAAGUCGGCUCACGGAGCCAGUGAGGUCAGAUCGGUCGGCCUCCUGCUCAGCUUGUGGGAGGCGGGCUCCUUCCCUGAGGCCGCCUCGGACACCGCCACCAGCAUUUCCAGUGCCGCUGCGCCCCCUGCCACAGAGCGCCCUCGUUGCCGCUGGCCGGCCGGGCACGCCAAUGCGCAUGCGCAAGAUGCGCGUCACAAGUGCGAGCUCCCACCGAGGCUCGCGUCACAGUGACAGCCCCCGUGGCCCGGGGAACCACAGUCUCAGCGGCUUGAGUUUCAGGGAUCCCCACGAUGCUUCAGGCCUGCUCAGAUGCUGUUGGGGGUGUGUCUCCUUGAAAGCUGUGUCUGCUGGGAUUUCCAGACAUGAGACAGGGGAUUACUGA